rnacentral:rRNA from 1 species
AUGCACGCUGGCGGCGUGCCUAAUCCCUGCAAGUCGAGCGAACGGACGAGAAGCUUGCUUCUCUGAUGUUAGCGGCGGACGGGUGGGUAACACGUGGAUAACCUACCUAUAAGACUGGGAUAACUUCGGGAAACCGGAGCUAAUACCGGAUAAUAUUUUGAACCGCAUGGUUCAAAAGUGAAAGACGGUCUUGCUGUCACUUAUAGAUGGAUCCGCGCUGCAUUAGCUAGUUGGUAAGGUAACGGCUUACCAAGGCAACGAUGCAUAGCCGACCUGAGAGGGUGAUCGGCCACACUGGAACUGGGCCACGGUCCAGACUCCUACGGGAGGCAGCAGUAGGGAAUCUUCCGCAAUGGGCGAAAGCCUGACGGAGCAACGCCGCGUGAGUGAUGAAGGUCUUCGGAUCGUAAAACUCUGUUAUUAGGGAAGAACAUAUGUGUAAGUAACUGUGCACAUCUUGACGGUACCUAAUCAGAAAGCCACGGCUAACUACGUG